AGAGUUUGAUCCUGGCUCAGGAUGAACGCUAGCGGCAGGCCUAACACAUGCAAGUCGAGGGGUAAGAUAGCAAUAUCUGAGACCGGCGCACGGGUGCGUAACGCGUAUGCAAUCUACCUUUUACAGAGGGAUAGCCCAGAGAAAUUUGGAUUAAUACCUCAUAGUAUAUAUAAUUCGCAUGUUUUAUAUAUUAAAGUUCCAACGGUAAAAGAUGAGCAUGCGUCCUAUUAGCUAGAUGGUAAGGUAACGGCUUACCAUGGCUACGAUAGGUAGGGGUCCUGAGAGGGAGAUCCCCCACACUGGUACUGAGACACGGACCAGACUCCUACGGGAGGCAGCAGUGAGGAAUAUUGGACAAUGGGCGCAAGCCUGAUCCAGCCAUGCCGCGUGCAGGAAGACGCAUCUAUGGUGUGUAAACUGCUUUUGUACGGGAAGAAACACUCCUACGUGUAGGAGCUUGACGGUACCGUAAGAAUAAGGAUCGGCUAACUCCGUGCCAGCAGCCGCGGUAAUACGGAGGAUCCAAGCGUUAUCCGGAAUCAUUGGGUUUAAAGGGUCCGUANGCGGUUUGAUAAGUCAGUGGUGAAAGCCCAU
rnacentral:rRNA from 1 species